rnacentral:rRNA from 1 species
UACGUAGGGGGCAAGCGUUGUCCGGAAUCAUUGGGCGUAAAGAGCGUGUAGGCGGCUCGAUAAGUCUGCUGUGAAAGUCCAGGGCUCAACCCUGGAAGGCCGGUGGAAACUGUCGGGCUAGAGUCCGGAAGAGGCGAGUGGAAUUCCCGGUGUAGCGGUGAAAUGCGCAGAUAUCGGGAGGAACACCAAUGGCGAAGGCAGCCUUCUGGGCCAACACUGACGCUCAUGCACGAAAGCGUGGGGAGCAAACAGG